GGGGAAGUUUAUUAACCUCACCCUUUUAACUCUUGAAGCCAAUCAAUUUUCUGGAACUAUUCCUAAGGAACUUGGGAACCUAGUGAAUCUACAAGGAUUAGGACUCUCUUCCAACCAACUUGUCGGAGGCCUCCCCAAGACAUUAGCAAGACUAAAAAAGCUAACUAAUCUCAUCUUAAGUGAUAACCUCCUGAACGGAUCGAUUCCAGAGUUUAUUGGGAAAUUAUCCCAACUUCAAAGAUUAGAACUCUAUGCGAGUGGCCUUAGAGGACCUAUUCCAGACUCCAUUUUUUAUCUGGAGAAUUUGAUCGACCUG